GAGGAAAGUCCGGGCUCCAAGGGCAAAGCGCCAGGUAACGCCUGGGGGACGUGAGUCCACGGAAAGUGCAACAGAAAGCAAACCGCCUAAGUUUUUCGCAAGAAAAGCCGGUAAGGGUGAAAGGGUGCGGUAAGAGCGCACCGCGUCGGUGGUAACACUCGACGGCACGGUAAACCCCGCUCGGAGCAAGACCAAAUAGGGGAACAAGUGGUCGUCUCUUCGGAGAUAGUCCGCACGCAUGGCCCAUGCAGGUUCCCGGGUAGGUCGCUUGAGGUCUGUGGUGACACAGAUCCCAGAGGAAUGAUUGUUCACGACAGAACCCGGCUUACGAAUUCCGACAGAACCCGGCUUA
rnacentral:RNase_P_RNA from 1 species